AUUCAGCUGAAGAGUCCUAAAUAGGACGAAACGCGUACGCCUAAAU
rnacentral:hammerhead_ribozyme from 1 species